GACGAACGCUGGCGGCACGCCUAACACAUGCAAGUCGAACGGACUUAAACGGAGCUUGCUCUUUUUAAGUUAGUGGCGGACGGGUGAGUAACACGUGAGCAACCUGCCUUUCUGAGGGGGAUAACGUUUGGAAACGAACGCUAAUACCGCAUAACAUAUAUUUAUCGCAUGAUAGAUAUAUCAAAGGAGCAAUCCGCAGAAAGAUGGGCUCGCGUCUGAUUAGCUAGUUGGUGAGGUAAUGGCUCACCAAGGCAACGAUCAGUAGCCGGACUGAGAGGUUGAACGGCCACAUUGGGACUGAGACACGGCCCAGACUCCUACGGGAGGCAGCAGUGGGGAAUAUUGCACAAUGGGGGAAACCCUGAUGCAGCGAUGCCGCGUGGAGGAAGAAGGUUUUCGGAUUGUAAACUCCUGUCUUCAGGGACGAUAAUGACGGUACCUGAGGAGGAAGCACCGGCUAACUACGUGCCAGCAGCCGCGGUAAUCAUA
rnacentral:rRNA from 1 species